rnacentral:lncRNA from 1 species
AAAAAAAGUGUCAGAUUUGGGGAAAAAAAGGGCUGAAAGUUGUUAGGUUUAUACAAUAAAUAAUAUAGACAAAGUCAAACACAAAGCAAACAGAAGCAGGCUUAAUUACAAGGCUGAAUGUUUCAUCAUAAUCAAUCACUUUUAAGAAAAUGCAGCAGAGCUUGCUGUUCUCUGAUAGUCUCAAGGUACUACUGUUCUCUAUUUUAUUUUAAUCUGUUGGAUUAGAUGCCUAUACCAGUUUCCCUAUUACAGUUGUUUUACAGCGUGCAAUCUUUGUUUUUGCUACUAAUAGCUAUUACUAAAAGUUGCACCCACCUCAGUAUUCACUUUUAAGAAAAGAAAAAGAGAAAAAAAUGAUUUUGGCAAAUAGGGGCAUAUGUCUUCAAAGCCAAUUCUUGUUUAAUCAUGCGAUACUUGUUUAUAUGAUUUAAACGGUGGAUCGUGUGUCAAUUUCCAAAGUAUACUCAGUAUUCAACAAGCCUUGGGGUAGAUAGCCAUUUAUGGAAAUACAAAAGCACCAAUUUGCAAUAGAUUUGAAUUCUUAUGGAAAUUUUUACUUUGGUCUUUUUUUAACUCAAGCGACUUUACUUUCAGGAUUUGAAAAAACUGAGAACAGUGUUAUACUCAGAGGCCAAAUAUCUUGAACUAUGGUACACCAAUGAUGACCAAAAACAAAUGUGAGUUGCUCUAAUUACUGCUGAUAAUUUCAAUUUUCUAUUGAGAAAAUAAACCAUCUUCACAUUUAUGCAGAUUGGUGGAAACAUUGAAAGAUUAUGCCAUCAACGCUUUGUCAAUAUUGUGGACCAUUUGGGUUCUGUGACUUGUAAGGUUAACGAUCCCUUAGAUGCAAAGGUCGAUGAAGUUUCGGAUGCAGAGCAUCGAGUAUCUUGCAUGAACAGGUAUGCUUGAAUUCUGGAAUGGAUUUAAAAAAAUUGUAAUUCAAUCAUCAGAGGUUCCUGAGACUAUUGAUGAGUGUAUUGCAACUAUAAAUUGUUUUCCUUUUCUUACAUAACCGAGCAUUCUUUUUAUCAAUUGGAUUGAAUAUCUCUCCUUGUGAGAGUUCCUCUCAUUAUAUAGAAACUGUAGAGAUUUACAAGGCUGAUUUUCAGCUAUUACAUCAACCAAAUCUAGGCUAAUUUCUAGUAAUUAGAUCUAUCUAAACAAGGAAAUUACAAAUACUCCUAAUUACAAUAUAUGUAUAGCUACGAUACAUAAUUUAUGCCUUGAUAGAUGCUGUCAUCCCCCCUCAAAUUGAUGUUGAUCGAUCAAGAAGCAUCAAUUUGCUCACAAGAAAUUGAUGACGCUUUUGUGUCAUAGCAUUGGUAAAUACAUCGGCUCUCUGGAGAGUAGUGGAAAUAUGAGGAAGAGAAAUAAUACGAGUGUCCAAAGCUUCGCGAAUAUAAUGACAAUCCACUUCAAUAUGCUUAGUACGCUCAUGGAAAACCGGGUUUACACAAAUCUGAAUAGCACUAGUGUUAUCAGCAUGGAGUGGAGUAGGAUUAGAUUGAGAGAAACCAAGCUCGGCUAGAAGUCCACGAAGCCAAACAAUCUCUAAACAACCAGCAGACAUAGCACGGUAUUCAGAUUCAGUUGAAGAUUUAGAAACACGAUCUUGCUUCUUACUCUUCCAAGAAAUCAGGGGAUUCCCAAGAAACAUACACCAGCCCGUGACAGAUCGUCGACUGUCCGGACAGCCAGCCCAAUCAGCGUCACUAUAGGCAACAAGAUGAGGAGGAGAACCAGCGGGAAAGAACAAUCCACGGCUAGGAGUCCUACGAAGGUAUCGAAGGAUACGAUGAACAACAACUAAAUUUAAAUGACGGGGAUGUUGCAUGAAUUGACUUACUUGCUGGAUAGCAAAGGAAAUAUUCGACCUCGUAAUAGUCAAAUAAUUCAAGCUUCCCACCAAUUGUCGAUAGAUAGUAGGAUUAGAAAUGACUUUACCUUCCUUACUACUAUACUUUGUGUUGACUUCUAGUGGAGUAUCCAUAGGAGAGGCAUUAUGAAGACCAACUAAUUUAAGCAAAUCUUGUGUGUAUUUAUGUUGAUUCAAAGAAAUCUCUGAAGAAUCAUAAUGAACUUCCAAACCCAAGAAAUAAGUAAGAGGACCAAGAUCCUUCAUAUGAAAUGAGGCUUGAAGAUGUUGUUGCAACCGAGCAAUUAAAGCAGAAUCUGUCCCAAUAAUAACAAUAGCAUCAACAUAAACUAGGAGAAGAACAAUACCAGUAAAUGUCUUGCAAAGAAACAAUGAUGAGUCAUAUUGGCUUUGCUUAAAUGAGAAUUGAAGCAAGGUGGAUCGGAAUUUAUCAAACCAAGCCCGGGGAGCUUGCUUUAACCCAUAGAGCGAUCGCUUCAACUUACAGACAUCUAAAGAAGAGGAGGAAGGCAAGCCAUGUGGUAGAACCAUGUAAAUCUCAUCUUUGAGAUCACGAUGAAGAAAAGCAUUUUUAACAUCCAUUUGAUGAAGUGGCCAGCCUUGUGAGGCAGCAAUCGAAAUAAUUGUACGGACUGUAGUCAUUUUGGCAACCGGAGCAAAAGUCUCUUUAUAAUUGACCCCAUACUCUUGUUUGUUACCAAGGACAACUAGUCGUGCCUUAUAGCGAUCUAGAGAACCAUCUAAACGACGCUUGAUUGAGUAGACUCAUUUACAACCAAUAGGUUUAACAUUACAACCCAUGUGUGAUUGUCCUCAAGAGCUUGAAGUUCUUCUUCCAUAGCCUUACGCCAACAAUCAUAUUUAGCAGCUUCUGAAUAACAUGAAGGAAUAGAAACACUGGUCAAAGUAGUAUGAAGAGAUGUGUGAAAUCCAUACCGAUUAGGUGGUCGGAUGAUUCUAGAAGAGUGGCGAACAGUAGUGUUUGAGGGCUGAUUGUCCGUGGAAGAAACCUAAAUUUAUUAAAUGAGAUAGGAUAACAGAAUUAGGAUAGCCUAAACAUUUGUGCCAUAUUUCACUCUUUUGAUUUACCGCAAUACUAGCCAAAGAAACGAAAUUAGAAACAGAAAAGUGCAAAGGAAACAAGCGUCCAACUUUAGGCCCCUUCGUUAGUAUCUUCCCCGACACCUGAUCCCGCACAAUACAACCAUCACGGGAAAAUCGAACAUCACAGUUAUUAUCAACCAAUUGUCCUACUGAAAUAAGAUUAGUAGAAAGCUAAUGAGAUACAAGAACAUCUUUAAUGGAAAAACUGAUGUCCCCAAUAGCAUGAAUAGGUAACUUACUACCAUUAGCAAUCUGAAUGUUUCCAUAAUAUUUUUGAACAUUGCUAAGAGUGUCGCUGGAAUUAGUCAUAUGAUUGGAUGUGCCAGAAUCAACAAGCCAAGAGAAAUAUGGUAGAGUACAUUUACUUUGAAGCCCUAAGGCUGAAAAGGCUGUAAUUAUCAUCUGCUGAACCAUUUAUGGAGAAAGAACUGAUUUAUCAACAAUUGUUAAACCAUCAACGGCCUGAUUAACAACAACGGCCUAACUAGCAACAACGGCCUGACUAGCUUGACAAUUUUGGGGACGAGUAGGACAUUCUUUGAUAAUAUGCCCAGGCUUCUUACAAUAGUUGCAAAAUUUCUUUGCACAUUUAACAACAAUAUGUCUGUAUUCCUUGCAGCUAAAGCAUUGAACUUGUCGCAUGUCUCUCCCCUUACUUUUCCAAUGAGCUGCAGCAUAAGCAAUUGCAUUAUCAUGCAUUUUAUUUUGCUGGAGAAUAGUUUGUGUUGCAAGACGUUGCUCUUCACGAAGUAAUUCUUUAAAGCACACAUCCAAAGAAGGAGAAAGAUCACGAUUCAUCAGAUUGGAGCGGGCUGCCUCAUAUUUAGGACGUAGUUUCAUCAAAAACUGAUCUCGCUUGCUCUGUUCAUGCACUUCUUGCACAUCAGCCAGAGAUUCAAUUGGUACUUGGACAUAAAUCAUGUCAACAUAUUCUGCCCAUAAGUUCUGAAAUCCAGAGAAAUAAUUUUGAAUGGAGAGAUUACCUUGAGAGUACCUAGCAAUCUCGUACUCUAAAUGAGAACGUUUGGCUGUAUUGUCCUGAUUAUAAACCUUUUUCAAAUACUCCCACAUGUCUUUAGCUGUCUUAUGUAGCUUCAGAUUGAGAAUGAGUGACUGAUCAAUUGAUCCCAUAAUCCACGUCAUGACUCAAGCAUCUUUGACUUGCCACUGAGCCAAUUUAGGAGGGUCAGUAGGAGCUAGAUCACUACCAUUGAUGUGACCCCAGAGUUCCUUUCCCAUGACAAAUAAUCGAAACUAAAAUUCCCAGGUAGAAUAAUUCUUACUCGUGAAACGCACACCAAAAUUUUCCAUGUUGCUAGUUGACAUGUUACCCGCAACUCACCAAAUGUAACAAGAAGUAAAGCAAAUCAACUAACCUAAGAGUUCACAAAAAAUACCAGAAAUCUACCCAAAACUAAGAUCUUAGACUCACAAGAAGUUUUUCUAAAAUUUUGAAUUAUGGCUCUGAUACCACAUCAUGAAUUGGAUUGAAUAUCUCUCAUUGUGAGAGUUCCUCUCAUUAUAUAGAAAUUAUAGAGAUUUACAAGGCUGAUUUUCAGCUAUUACAUCAACCAAAUCUAGGCUAAUUUCUAGUAAUUAGAUCUAUCUACACAAGGAAAUUAUAGAUACUCCUAAUUACAAUAUAUAUACAUCUAUGAUACAUAAUUUAUGCCUUGAUAUAUGCUGUCACCUUUGAUCAUCCAUCCUAAGUCUCUUCUUUAAGAUUGAUUUCACUGCAUUAAAAUAGUCAGAUUCAACAGUUAAUGGUGGGUGCAGUCCAGAAUCAACUGCCAUUUUGAUGCCAUCAAGAACUGCCAAAGCAUUCAGUAAUCUCCAUAUUUUCUAAGCAAGUUUUCCUAGUGAUGGAAGCAGCCGUGACACCCCAUUUGAAUUUAUUAUAAUACAAGUCAAACCUGCUUUUAUUCUAGAUUUAAAGAUGCAUCUACUUUUGGUGAUUCUACCCAAGAUAAAACGUAUGCAGAAAAUUGUUGCUCAAUGUCAGCCUUGCUAAUUCUUUCAAAAUAUAAUUCACAGCUUUGAAGAAUUUGUUACAGCUUUCUAAUAUUUUAAUAUUUAAAUGGUAAAACUAACAUUAUAGAUUCUCUUGUUACAAAAACGUCAACUAAUCCAAAAGCAGAAAAUGAUGCACGAAGAAACUUGGCCUCAACUGCCUCAAAGUGUCUGAAUGAGACGAGAAAAUAAACAAAAUGAAGAAACUUCUAAACUACAAAGUCUAGGCAAAAUUGAUAUACUAAAAAAAAAUGGUAUUUUAGAGGAAAGACUCUCCUUAAGUAACAUAUUUGAAAAUUUGGUAGGAAAAGAGGAAAAAAUGAUUAUUAAACAGGCCACAUAAAAUUUCCAAAUGAAUAUUGUCUCAUAGGAUAAACUGGUAGGUGCAAAUUGAAUGAAUAUUGGACAAGAAUGAAAAAUCAGUUAUGUAAUGAGUCUUCCAACCAUGAAUGAUCAAAGAAUAGAAACUUACACUAAAAGUUUCCCAUUAACGACAUAUAUCUGCCUUUUCACUUUGUCUAGUUGCAACUGCAUUGGGAAAUUGAAUCCAAGUAAGAAUUUAUUGAAAAAGCAACAAAGUUAAAGGAGCAAGGUAUGAUCUUAGGAUCAUGAUGCAUCAUCUCCUUAUCAAUAGCUAAUGUUGCAUACACAAUUGAUUCAUUCUCAUUGGACUCAUAAUCCACUUCAAUGUCACUGCAUGGGAAAAACCCUUUUCUAAGAAACAACAAAACCUUUCAGGUACAGUUCCUCUAAAAAAACUUCUGAAAGGUGGACAAAGAGCACUACACCGUCAAGGGAAGAAAAGAAAUAGAUCAAUUGUAAACAACAGAGGAAUUACUGACUCUCUGUUGUGUUCCUCAACAGACAAAACUGAGAACAAUUCACCCACUCAAGUUCCAAUAUUAUAGUUUCCUCGUUGCCAGUUUAUUCAAAAUCUUUUAGAACAAUUCCAAUAUUCUGAUAAUAUUACCAUUGACUUUACCCUUUGUUUUUUUAUGGUUCACACAACUUAUAACUAAAUUACAAAUUAGUUCACAUGCCAGUAAAUUGUCUAAUCCAAAAUUUAACAAUAUGAGCCACCGCCCAUCCAUUAGAGUAAACACCAUAACAGAAAAUUAGAAAAAUUGUUACAAUCUUUCCAUUAUAAUUUUCUUUUAAUUAUUUACUUUAUAUUUUGACAGUAGUUGGUUUUUAAUAAGUCAAAAUUAAGUUGUUAGUUGGUUCCUUAUUUUGUGGAUUCAUGGAGCAUGAUGGAGAACAUGCUUAAUGCUUGCUAUUUUUAUGCUUGUUACUUUGAACUAAAGUUUUAUUUAAAACUUGAUGUUAUUCAAUAAAAGAGUGUCUUGAGUAUUACUAUUCUCGCGAGAGUUGUAAGUUGUCUUUUGGGAGUUUAUUGGUUUCUCAAAUAACCAAUACUAUUUUGGAGGUCUAGAUUUCCUAGAAUUAACAUAUUCUUAUCGAUUUUGUUGGAUAUAACGAUAAUGAGAGAAGGCUGGUUUGUAGACUGCUGAGUUAUAUUUUAUUGAGCAAUAAAAUCAUCUAUUUAUACAACAUAAUGAAAACUAAAGUGCAGAAAAAUCUGCUACAUUUGAGCAUAAUAACUACGUGCAGGAAAAUAACAUGAAGAAGUGGUCAUAAUCCUAAAAAAUAGCAACAAAAAAAUUGAUUUAGCUUCAUGAGUCAAUAUCUAAUCUUUGGAAGUGCUUUUGUUAAGAUGUCAGCACUUUGAUUUUCUGUUUUGCAGUAGAUCAGCUGCACUUCUCCUUCUCUUUGUACCUCUCUUAGAAAAUAAAGUUUUAUCUUGAAGUGUUUUGUUUUGCCAUGGAACACUGGAUUAUUAGCAAUUGAAAUUGCAGCUUAGUUGUCCACAAAUAUUUGUGUGCCUUCUUGUUGUUCCAUAUGCAAAUCUGUCAUAAGUUUCCUGAUCCAAAGAGCUUGAUUCACAGCAGUAGCAGCAGCAGCUACAUAUUCUGCUUCUGCUGUGGAUUGAGCUAUGACUUCUUGCUUCUUAGAACACCAUGAAACAAUUCCAGAAACAAUUUCAGAACCAAAGCUAAAAUAGUAACCUGAGGUGCUUCUCAUGUCAUCAACACAUCCAGCCCAAUCACUAUUAGAAUAUCCAUGAAGAUUGAAGUUUUUAACUUGAUUAAACCUUAUUCCAUAAUCAAUUGUGCCCUUAAUAUAUCUAAGAAUUAUUUUUGCUGCCUGAAAAUGAAUUUCACUGGCAUAGUGCAUAUACCUUGAUAGCAAACUCACUGCAUGCAUGAUAACUAGUCUGGUUCAGUUAAAUACAUUAGGCAGCCUAUUAGGCUCCUGUACAACCUUUCAUCCACCUUUUCAACUCCAUCUUCUUUACAAAACUUCUCCUUUUGAUUCAUUGGAGUUGCAGUUGGCUUGCACUCUUCCAUGUUAAAUUUCUUGAGAACUUCCUUUGCAUAUUUUUACUGGCAUAGAAAUAUUUCAUUUUCCUUUUGAUGUACCUGCAUACCAAGGAAGAAUGUCAUCCUCCCAAGGUCUGUCAUUUCAAAAACAUCUUUCAUUUCUUCUUUAAACCUGUCAAUCAACUUCUUACUACUUCCUGUAACGAGUAGAUCAUCAACAUACAGAGAUACCACAAGUAUUUCAUUAUCCGCCUUCUUGAUAUAUAAAGUAGAUUCACUCAGACUUUUUUCGAAGACUAAGUUUGCUAAGUGUGUGUCAAUUUUGCUAUAUUAGGACCUUGGUGCCUUUUUUAAAUCGUACAUGGCUUUUUCAGUCGAUAUACCUUCUCCUCUUGUCCUGGAAAAACAAACCCUUCAGGUUGCUCCACAAAAAUUUCUUCCUCCAAGUAUCCAUUCAAAAAGGCUGAUUUGACAUCCAUUUGGUGUAUAACCCAACCUUGCUGUGCAGCAAGAGCUAGCGACAUCCUUAUGGUAUCCAACCUGGCAAUCGGGGCAAAAGUUUCAGAAAAAUCUACCCCAAACAUCUGGGCAUAUCCCUUAAAAAUAAGGCUUGCCUUGUGCUUGUUUACAGAACCAUCAGGAUUGAGCUUGGUCCUAUAAACCCACUUGACUCCUAUAGCUUUCUUGUGUUCAGGUCUGUCUUCCAACUCCCAUGUCUGAUUCUUUUCAAUCAUCUUUAGCUCGUCCUUCAUUGUAGCUAUCCACUUCUGAUCAUUUGCAGCUUCUUCAUAUCAUGCAGGCUCCAUUAUAACAAUAUUACACCUCUGAUAGAUGUCAGAGAGUGAUCUGGUUCCUCUAACAUUUUCAUCAUCUGUAUCAUCAUUCUCCUCCUCGACCUUAAGCUUCUUGUCAUUCUCCCAACUCCAGUUAUCUAACUCAAAGAAUUAAACAUCCCUGCUGACGAUUACUUUGUUGCUUUGCAGUAAGUAAAUCCUGUAGGCUUUUGAGGUUGAGCUAUAGCCUACAAAAAUCCCAGGUUCUGCUUUUUUGUCUAAUUUGUCUCUCUUAACUUUAGGGAUGUAAGAGAAACAUAGACAAUCAAAUAUCUUCAGAUUAAGCAGCUUUGGUUUGUAGCCAUACCAUGCUUCAAAUGGAGUUUUUUCUGUAACGCUUUUGUUGGCAAUAUGUUCAAUAAAAAAACUGCAGUGUUUACGGCCUCAGACCAAAAUUUCUUCGGCAGCCCUUUGUCAUGAAGUAAGCAUCUUGCCAUCUCUAUUAUUGUCUGGUUUUUCCUCUCUACAAUACUAUUUUGCUGAGGAGUGCAAGGUGCUGUCAGUUGAUGUUCAAUGCCUGCAUCUUCACAAAACUUGUUAAAUUUUUCAAAGGUAUAUUCUGUUCCAUUAUCAAACCUAAUCACCUGUAUUUUGCAUCUGCUUUGAGUUUCAACCCAAGCUUUAAACUUCACAAGGAUGUCAGCAACCUUAGAUUUAAGCUUCAUAAAACAAAUCCAGCACAUUCUUGAGUAAUCAUCAAUGAAAACAAUAUAAUACUUACUGUUAUUCAAAUAUGGUGUUUUCGUUGGUCCUCCCACAUCUGUUUGUAUUAAUUGCAACCUCUGUAUAGCCCUCCAAGCCUUAUUUUGUUGAAAUGGAAUCCUGGUUUGCUUUCCAUACUGACAGGCAGCACAUCUAGGAGACUCCUCCUCUAAUUCAAGCAAGUCUUUGACUAGAUUGUUCUUUUUCAUGUAGAGUAGAGUAAUAUGAUGAAAAUGCCCCAACCUCUUAUGCCAAAUCAAUGUAUUGCUAUCUUCUCUGUGUACAGAAGCCUGCUCUUCUUUCAUCAAAUCCAAGGAAAAGCUUUUGCCUUUCAUUUGAACUUUGAAUACUUCUCUGUCUUUUGCAUCUUUGAUCACACAGUUCUUAUCUUCAAACAACACCUUAUAGCCUUUUUCUAACAACUGAGUAACACUAAAAAGAUUUUGAUUAAGUUCAAGAACAUAUAAAACAUUAUAAAUCAAUUUCAGACCUGUAUGGCCUUCAAUCGCUACUGUUCUUUUGCCUUUUACUGCAAUGUGUGCCCCAUUUCCAAUUCUGACUUUGGAAAUAGUAGUCGCGUCAAGCUCUGUGAAGAGCUCUCGAUCAUAAGUCAUGUAGUUUGUACAACCACUAUCUAUAAGCCAAUUCUCUGUGGAGCUGUUGGUGGCAAAACACGAUACCACAAACAGUUGUUCCUCUUGGGGUUGAUCUUCAAUAGCCUUGGCUUCACUUUGCUGUUGUUGAGUCUUGCAUAUCCUUUCCACGUGCCCUGACUGACCACACUUGUGACAUUUUGCAUCUGGCCUCCACCAACACUUAUUUUGUGGAUGAUUGAUUUUUUUUGCAGUAAGGGCAAGGUAGAAAGACUUGAGUGUUGCUACUUUGGCUAUUUUUAUUACUGCUUGCAGAACCUCCAAGCUUGUUGUCUUUGUUCUGGUUUUUCUUAUUUUUGCCACCUUUGUUGUUUUGUGAUUUGGCUUGAAAAACACCCUCCAGAGAUCCUUCUUGUCUCAUAAGCCUCAUUUGCUCCAGUGCCUGCUGUGCAUUCAACAAUUCUGCCAAGGUAAUACUUGACAGAUCUCUUGAGUUUUCCAAAGAUGAAAUUGUAGCCUUAAACUUUUCAGGAACCAUGACUAGGAUUUUUUGAACAACUCUAGAAUCAGAAAAAUCAGUGCCAAUGAGUCUUACCUUGUUGACAAUCUUAAAAAGUCUGUCAGAAUAUUUCUGAAUUGUUUCUGAUUCUUUCAUCUUUUGCAUCUCAAAUUCUAGGAUCAAAUUCAACACUUGCAUCCCUUUGACCCUGUCAUUUCCUUCGUAUUCUUGCUUCAAAAAAUCCCAAAUUUCCUUGGCUGUUUUGAGCGUCAUUAUUCUGGAAAAAAUGGUGGAUGAGACUGCUGCAAACAAGGUUGCUUUUGCUUUUGAUUUUGAUUUUCUUUACUUCAUCUCUUUUUUAUUUCUGAUUUGUGCAAGAGUUAGAUUGUCUGGCAGGGGUGGAACUUCAUAUAUUUGUUCAACAGCUUCCCACAGAUCAUUAGCAUCAAGAUAAGCCUUCAUUCUAACAUCUCACGCUUGAUAAUUUAUUCCAUCAAACACUAGAGGUGCAAUUGCAGUGAAUGGACUUUCUGAAUUCAUUCUGGAAAGGUUUUGUGUUUUUGGGAAGAUAGGUGAUAAUUGUUUAGGAAUUGUGUUCAAACUUUCUCAAUCUCACAUGUCCCUAAAGAUUAUAGCUCUGAUACCAUUAUGUUGGAUAUAAAGAUAAUGAGAGAAGGCUGGUUUGUAGACUGCUGAGUUAUAUUUGAUUGAGCAACAAAAUCAUCUAUUUAUACAACAUAAUGAAAACUAAAGUGCAGAAAAAUCUGCUACAUUUGAGCAUAAUAACUAAGUGCAGGAAAAUAGCAUGAAGAAGUGGUCAUAGUCCUAAAAAAUAGCAACAAAAAAACUGAUUUAGCUUCAUGAAUCAUUCCAGUCAACAGAUUUCCUUCUAUUUUGUUCAAGUUACUGUUACAAACAUUUGUGUUCAUAUCGUAAGCAUUAUCUUUAAAUUUUGUUUUCAAGUUUCGAUACUAGACAACAAUAAAAGUAGGGGUGGGCACAGUUCGGUCCAGUUCGGUUCGGAUCGAAAUUAAGCAGAACCGAUUUAAAUCGGUUAUUUUAUAAAAAGAACCAAAUAAGAACCGAACUUGAUAAAAACUGAAUAUAAACGGAUCUUUUCGGAUCGGUUCGGUUUUUUCGGUUUUGGGCCUAGUGGGCCUAUUUUGAAUUUCUAAAUUUUUAGCUCAUUAGGCCUCAUGAAUGUAAUAAUUUUUUUCAACAAUUAAUUUAUCCUAAUUUCAUUACAAAUAUUAACAAUAAAUACAAAGUAUUCAAAACACAUUUUAUCACUAAUAUUUUACUAACUACUAAUAAGGUACUUACAAAAUAUGAAAUAUUAAGAUUUCAAAAUACAUAAUCAAACUCCAAUAUUCCAUCUACAUAAACAUAAUGUUGUAAAGACAAAUAAAAAUAACAACAAUUAAAACUUACAACACAAAAUAAAAAGAAAAUUUGGAAACAAACACCAACAACAAUUUUUAAAUAUAUAUAUACCCGUAAUCGUGUGUGUGCAUGCAUAUUUUAGUUAUCUUACGCAACCAAUUAAAAUUUAACACGUGUCUAUUUAAAUAAAAUUCCAAGAAUAACCCGGUUUUUUGGUUCAGCUGAGUGAACCGAAUACCAAACCUGCAUUUUGGUUUUUUUUACAAACCAUAUAUUUUGGUUAUUUUUUAAAAUUAAAACCGGUCCGAACAGAACAGUUCGGAUCGGUUCGGUUCAGUUUUCUCUAGUGCACGGUUUUUUUUGCCCACCCCUAAAUAAAAGAAACUUAUAGCGUCAACCCUAAGAAAUCACUAUUAGGGUCAAUUUAUUUGAUAUAUUGCAACUCGAUAACCAACUCAUACUCAUCCUAAACAAUCAUAUUAGAAAAGAAACAUCUUUCUAACAUUAAGAAAUAUACAAAGCAUAGUAGAACCUAAGAACACAAACAUGUAACAGUAGAAUUAAAUAUUUUGGUUUUUUUUUUCCUCUUUUAGGAAAUAAAGCUUUGAAGACAAUUGACUGAAACCCAUCUUCAGAAACCAAACCUCUCAUAUAUAAAAACAGUAUGAGAACAAAACGCAACAAACCCACAUUGAAUAACCAACCAAAGCAUAAAAUUUUUGCGAAUUUCACAGAGGAAGAUAAUAAUAUUGAAUAAAUAAGGCAAAAUUAACAUUUUUCGAAAAGUGGAAAAUCCCAGUAAAUGGAUACUUAGUUGAAAUUCUAGCAUAAUAAAUACAUUUCAAAAUGUUAAAUUAAAGAAGCAUAAGCAGCCAAGAGAGAGAAUUAAAACCAGCUGAAUUCCCAUUGCGAUGCAUAAGAAGGUAGAGCAGCUCCCAUCACACACACACACACACACACACAUAUAUAUAUUCAUUUUGAGUUGAACCAGCACGAGCCGAGUUUUCGCAUUUUAGUACAACUCUUUUAGAUAAUAUAUAGAUUUUUUAAGUAACUUUUUAAAAAAGAUUUUUAACAUUUAAAGCUUUUCGUAAAUCCAAAAUUUAUAACUAAAACUUUUGAGAAAAAAUGAUAUUAGUUAUUUUCUUAUCAGGUCAUUUUAUAAUGUCGUGAUUAAAGUCAUAAUAUCAAUAUUGUAAUUAAAUAUAAAUUAUAUAAAUAAAACAUAAAACUCGUAAAUUUAACAUAAAAUUUUUAAAUCAAUAUACAUAAAAUUAAGAAGUAAAACAUAAAUGAAAGAUAAAAUAAGUAAAUUAAUACAAAAUUAGUAGAUUAAUGUAUUAUUGGUAAAUAAAACAAAAACUUACAAAUAUAGUAUAAAGCUAGUAAAUCAAUUUAAGUGGACACUAAAGCAUAAAUUUUGGGAAUGGUACAUAAAACUUGUAAAUAAAAGGUAAAAUAAGUAAAUUAACAUAAAUAUGGUAAAUUGAUGUACUAUUGGUAAAUAAAAGGAAUAUUAGUAAAUAUAGUAUAAAAACUAGUAAAUUAUCGUAAACUAUAAAAUAAAAGAUAAACUUUGGAAAUAAAACAUAAGAUUUGUAAAUGAAGGAUAAAAAAAGUAAACUAAUAUAAAAUUGAUAAAUUAAUGUAUCACUAGUAAAUAAAAUAAAACCUACAAAUACAACAUAAAACCACUAAAAUCAACAUUAAGUGCAAUAUAUAAUAUAAAUUUUAGAAAUGAAACAUAAAAACAUAUAAAUAAAAAGUAAAAUAAAUAGAUUUAACAUAAAACUGAUAGAUUAAUGUAUUAUUGGUAAGUAAAAUGAAAAUUUAUAAGUAAAAAUAUUGAGUAAAAUGAUAUUAGUUAUUUCUUAUCAAUAUGAAAUAUAUUUCCAAGUUAAAAAGGUAUUUCUCAAAGACAAAUUGACGUAUGGACUUGAGUAUUUGGUAGGAAGUGUUGUGAAAAAUUUUAAUAUACUCGCAAGCGCACAAAUUGACGUAAGGUAUUUCUCAAAGACAAAUUGAUAUUAGAACCUGGAAUUUUUGUAGGCUCCAGCUCAACCUCAAAAGCCUAUAGGAUUUACUUACUGCAAAACAACAAAGUAAUCGUCAGUAGGGAUGUAUUGUUUUCUAGCUAGUUGUCUUUGUUCUAGAAGAAAGAUUGGGAAGCAAACUGAAAAUUACUAGUAAAAAAGAGGGUUCACUACAUGUUGGCUGAAGUGGGAGAGGCUCGCACUCUAACCGGUUUUAGACUCUGUUAGAUUUAACGCCCAUGAUGGGACAGAUUAAUCUAACGUAAGUGAUAAGAUAAACUUAGAGUUUGUCUAGGAUUCUUAUGAGAUAAAAUUAGUAUUUUAUCUUAAUCCUAAUCACAUAAGAUGUAACUUGUCAAAUAACUCUAGGAAGUUGAUUUGAAUAAAACUACACUUAUUGUACUAUAUAAACAGUAUAUGCAAAGGUUUUGUAGGAAAGAUAAUUUUGUGAAGUUCGUUUACUUAGGCCAAUUUGUUUUUUUAAAGAUUCGCACACAUGUCUUUAUGUAUCUACUAAGGUUAUUACCUACUAGGAAAAACAAAACAGAUUUAGAUAAAAAUCAUAAAUUCAUGAAUGCUAUAAUCAAGAAGAGAUUGAAAGUGGUUUGGAAUGGAAGAAGGGUGAGAGAGAGCGCCUAACAAUUUUUUUUUAAAGUAUCGACGUAGGGGUUUAUUAAGAAAGUACAACAAAUGAGGGUUAUUUUAGGAAUUAAAAAGAAUAUGUAGAGAAAAUGGGUUUAAAAAGAAAGUUAGAGGUGCGCCAAUAGUCCAACUCUUUAAUGAAAGAUAUAGAAUCAAAGAUAAUCAUGUAUAAACUUUAUAGAUUCAAGUAUAGAUUUAAUUUAAUAUUAAUCUUAACAAUCAAUAAUACAUGACAAAAUUGAUGAAAAGAUUUUAAUAACAUCCAAUUAAUUAUGUGAAACAAAAAUCAUAAUCAUCAAAGCACGCAUGUAGGGAAUUAAUUAAAUAAAAAUAUAAUUAUUUCAUUGAAUAGGGUUUCAUUCUUAACCUCAAUAUAAGAAAAUUAACUAGACAUACUUGAAUUGGGAGCAACAAAUAAAAUAAAAUCCAGCCAUGAAGAAUUAAACUGCUGCUGCUAUUUUUCUUCUCUCCUCCGCCGAAUACUCUGCUUUUCCUCCUCUUUGGCGGCUCCCACCCUUUUAUAAUGCUAGUUGGCCGAAUUCUUCUCCAAUUAAUUGCUAGGAAACCGCCUCCUUUAAGCCCAUAUUCACUCUCACACGCCAAAUCCUUUGUAUAUUAUUUCCUUAUUAAAAUUGGAAAGCUAGCCACACGUUUGACUUCCAAAGCAAAAGGCCAAUUAAUGAUUUCUUCCUUUAAUGCCCAGCACAUGCAUUCCAAAUUGCUAAAUAAAAUCUUUCUUUAAUUAUCUUAAGCUCAUGCGGAAGCUUUGGAACAUAAUCUUUAAUUCUUCAAUUCUUUCCUCUUAUGGAUCUUUUAUGCACUUUUUUUUCAUGAUCUCCAAUUAAUUCUCUAUUCAAUAAAAUAAUUCAAUUAAUUAAAAAUAAAAAAUAAAAAUAACUAACAAAUAUUCAAUAAAAGGUAAAAUAUGUAUAUAAAUUAUGUUCAUCUGGAAGUCGAGUCAUCAAUUGAGAGACUUGUAAGUAAAGACUAGAGAGGCAAGGUAACUUGUUUGUAAGGUAACUUGUUUGUUUGCUUCUGCAUCGCGCAUACUAGAGGAUCAUAUUGGGAUAUUCCUAAGGGGUAUAUUUGGUAACUGCAUUGGCAUCAUUCAUUUCGAAUCUUUGAUUGGUUAAUUUGGAAUAUUACCUGGCACCAACGCAAUUAGUUAUUUUAGAAUCUCUCUCUUUAUAAAAACAUUUCAACUUACAAUUUCCAUUUCGAUCUUUUUGCUUUGCUUUUUGCUUUCAUCAAUCAAUCAUUCAUUCAUUCACUCGCCUUCCCAAUCACAGCAAAAGCUAACUUCUGUAGCCCCCAAGCAAUUCCAGGUACAUUCUUUACAUUUUUCGUUUCUUCUUCUUGUUCUUUUUGUUGUUUUGUUUAAUAAUUACAAGUAUUUAUUUUUUAGGGUUUCUAGAAUUGAUCAUGUGAAGGUGAAAAGUGAUGAUGAUCAAGUAUCAACUUACAUUACGGUGUACAGGAUCACUAUGGAUUUUGAAAGAAUAAUGACCUAUUUUAUAUAAUAUAAAUGUUACCACAGUUUCUGCUUUCUAUUUUCAAAAAUUAUAGAACAUUCUGUUUAGCUGUUUCUAAAAAACUUAUUUCUUGCGGUGAGAAACAUCUUUUUAUUGUUUUAAGUUGUUUUCUUAAAACAUAUAUAUAUUUCAAAACAAACUAGCUCAACUUUUAUUAGUACUCUUUUUUUCCCUUACAUUUAAAAAAUAUUAUAGCGAAACCUCUCUAUAUUUGUAAUAUUGAGACCAUAUUAAUUUGUUACCAUGAGGGGAUUAUAAUUAAUAGAGGUAUAAUUACAAAAAUUAUUUUUUUAACUUAGUUAUCUUUAUUACAAAGAUAUAGAGGUAAAAUAUACACUGUAUUAAUAAUUUACUAAUGGAGCAUGUCAAAUCCAAUAUAUCUAUUAUCUAUGUACCAUUGUUAGAAAUAUGUAAAGUCAUCUUAAAAAUCUCUAAAUGUUUACAUUCUCUUUAAUAAUUUUCUCUCAUUGUGUAAUUGUAUUAUGUGGAAGCAAGUUCAUUUAAUCUAAUAUAACAUAUACUUUUGUAAUGCACAAAUAAUUAUUACUAUGUAGAAGCGGAUUUCUUAAGAUGACUAAACAAAAAUUAUUCCUAAUAAAUCAUUACUAUAAAAAGAUUUUACUGUAUCUUCAUUUUUUAAAAUAGUUCUUAGAGAAACUAUAAUUAAAAAUUGACAUAAAAAAUUUUCAUAUAUAUUUUAAAUUUAUAUCUAUCAAGGUUAUUAAUUUCAAUAAUAAAAUUUAUUCGACACCUAUAGUCAUUUCGAAAAUAACAAUCCCAAACCAAAUUGACAGAUGGUGUUAAAUGAGAUUUUAUGUUCGACUUUCAUCUGUGCUGAGAUUUUAUGUUCCACUUUCAUCCGUGAAUUUGGCUGUGAGAAAUUCAAAUUGGAAAUCAAAUCCUACUAUUUUCACAUAUAUGGGAAAAACAAUAUUUUGAGUCCUCAUAAAACCUUAAACAUGUCCUCAACUUUAUCAAAACAACAAACCAACCACUACACCAAAGACUCUCUUAAGUGAUUGAUAAAAUCUUUUAAAAGUGGUUUGAUGUUACAUUCAUUAUCUCAUAAAUAAUAAUGUAUCCAGCAAAGCUGAAGUCGAUUAUUUUAGAAGCCACAUCAAAUGUCAACCAAUCUGGUCCUUAAUAGCCAUUUCUCUGUUGAGUUUUAACAUUUAGAUCACAGCCUGUACUGCAAUCUAGCUCAAAUGCCACUAUUUUACUAACAUUUUUCCCCUACUGUUGUAAGUCGAGUUUCUAAUCUUUGAUAAUAUAUAACUGACAAGUGUUGAAAAUAAUAAUAAUAUUAAUAAAAUCUUGAGCUCUUGCCGUUACUCUAAUAUAAGCAGCAAUAUUUACUGCCUUAGAUACAAAAAACAGUAUUCCCCUCCUUGCGAGUUGUUUUCAUUUUGUUUGUGCUGCGAGAGAGAUAGAUAUAGUGGUAUCAGUUAGCAUAAUUUUUUUAUAGUGAAAAAACAAAGGCUAUCUCCAGUUUAUUCUUUCCCUUCCAUAUGCAUAUGAUUAAUAUGCUUUGUUGUAUCGGUUGUUCUGAUCUCUCCCACAGCAGAUUCUGGUUUAUUUAUGAUCUUUUGUAUAACUUUUAGUAGAUUUACUCAAGAAUCCUGUAAGCAAACUGCUUAAAAUGCAAAGAGCCGCGCCAUUAGCGUGACAAAUUAGUGAAACCCUGCAAAAAGAAGGGAUAGAAACAGUGAGGAUAUUAUGUAUUGUUUUCUAGCUAGUUGUCUUUGUUCUAGAAGAAAGAUUGGGAAGCAAACUGAAAAUUACCAGUAAAAAAGAGGGUUCACUACAUACUGGCUUAAGUGGGAGAGGCUCGCACUCUAACCGGUUUUAGACUCUGUUAGAUUUAACGCCCAUGAUGGGACGGAUUAAUCUAACGUAAGUGAUAAGAUAAACUUAGAGUUUGUCUAGGAUUCUUAUGAGAUAAAAUUAGUAUUUUAUCUUAAUCCUAAUCACAUAAGAUGUAACUUAUCAAAUAACUCUAGGAAGUUGAUUUGAAUUAAACUACACUUACUGUACUAUAUAAACACUACAUGGGUGAGUGAUAGCACGUAAAAUAAUAAUCACAAGAAUCAGAGCAACAUCAAAAGAGAGUGAGAGAAAAGGGAAAAAGUCAGUGGGUUCUUGCUUCGUGAAUUGAGGGGAUUUUCCAAAUACGUGAUUAUCCUCCGAUCAUCAGUGACAUAAACUCGUGACGAUCCAUUCGUGAAGGAGAUUUGCUCGUGAAGGUUCCAGUUCCUAACUCAUGAUGAUCCGUUCGUGAAGGAGAUUUGCUCGUGAAGGUUCCAGUUCCUAACUCAUGAUGAUCCGUUCGUGAAGGAGAUUUGCUCGUGAAGGUUCCAGUUCCUAACUCAUGAUGAUCCGUUCGUGAAGGAGAUUUGCUCGUGAAGGUUCCAGUUCCUAACUCAUGAUGAUCCGUUCGUGAAGGAGAUUUGCUCGUGAAGGUUCCAGUUCCUAACUCAUGAUGAUCCGUUCGUGAAGGAGAUUUGCUCGUGAAGGUUCCAGUUCCUAACUCAUGAUGAUCCAUUCGUGAAGGAGAUUUGCUCGUGAAGGUUCCAGUUCCUAACUCAUGAUGAUCCGUUCGUGAAGGAGAUUUGCUCGUGAAGGUUCCAGUUCCUAGCAAUCAAUUCUUAUUCGUUGCGAUCUGCUCGUGCUAGUUCCAGUUUCUUACUGAGGGGAUGCAUUGUUGACUGCCACUUAUGUACUUAAUCAAGUUCCGAGUAAGUCAGUAAGUUCCACUCCAUAUGAGCUAUAGACACAUAGAAAACCUAAUCUUACUCAUUUGCAUCCUUGGGGGUCUGCAACGUAUGUUCAUAACCCAUCUCAUAAACAUGGGAAAUUGGAUCCGAGAGGAAAGAAAUGUAUCUUUAUAAGAUACCCAGAAUACUCCAAAUGGUAUGUGUUCAUAGGUGAACAUGAUGAUAGAACCAUAACUAAGAUAAAAUCACGAGAUGUCACAUUUUUGGAAAAUGAAUUCCUUAGCAUUUCAGAGGUCCACAAAGACAUCCAUCUAUAUGAGUUGAAUGAUUCAGAGAUGAAUGACACUUCUGAUUUACAAAUUGAGAGAAACCUAGAUAUGUCUGGGAAUUCUGAUUCUAGUGGCAGUCAACCACAAAAUGACUUUACUCCACUUGACAACUCAAUUUGAAGAAGUAAUCGUACAACCAUACCACGUCGUCGUUUUGAGAUUGAGGGGGAGGUGUUUAUGAUUGCUUCACAUGAUGGUGAUGAGCCAAGAACUUAUAGUGAGGCUAUCACAUCAUCAGCUAAGGAAUUGUGGAUUAAAGCAAUAGAUGAAGAAAUGAAGUCAAUGAGAUCAAACCACGUCUGGGACUUGGUUGAUCUACCGGCCUACCGUAAGGCCAUUGGAAACAAAUGGGUUUUACGUGUUAAACGAAAGGCAUAUGACAUAAUUGAAAGAUACAAGGCAUGCUUGUUAGCGAAAGGAUAUAACCAACAAGAGGGUAUAGACUAUGAGGAAACUUUUUCCCCAGUCGUAAGGUUUGCCUCUAUAAGAUUAAUUCUAGCCAUCGUUGCACAUAUGGAUCUUGAAUUACAUCAAAUGGAUGUUAAAACAACUUUUCUCAAUGGAGAGCUAGAGGAGGAAAUUUAUAUGGAACAACCAGAUGGUUAUAUAAUCAAUGAUCAAGAGCGCAAAGUUUGCAAGCUCAAAAAGUCUAUAUAUGGGUUAAAACAAUCCUCCAAGCAAUGGUAUCUUAGGUUUCUGAAUCUGUGAUGACUUAUGGAUUCUCAAUGACCAAAAAAGAUCAUUGUGCAUACGUUAAAAGGACAGAGGGUAACUUUGUCAUCUUAUCGUUAUAUGUGGAUGAUAUAUUGUUGGCUGGAAAUAAUAUAGAGUUUGUUCAAACCAUCAAUGAAUGAUUAUUUUUAAACUUUGAAAUGAAAGAUAUGGGUGAAGCAUCUUAUAUCUUGGAAGUUAAAAUCCAUAGGGAUCGUUCUAAAAAACUUCUAGCUCUGCCACAAGAGUCUUAUAUUAGAAGAAUUCUUGAAAAUUUUAAAAUGGAUAAGUGUAAACUUAUGGAUACUCCCAUAUCUAAAGGAAAAACUCUUAACCUUGAAAUGUGUCCAAAGACUUCAAAGGAAUGAAAUGAAAUGACACAAGUUCCAUACUCUAAUACUGUUGGAAGUCUCAUGUACGCUAUGAUGUGUACAAGGCCAGAUAUUUGUUAUGCUAUGGGGUUGGUAAGCAGAUACCAAACAAAUCCUGGGCACAAACACUGGAAUGUUGUCAAAAGGAUUUUAGCAUAUCUGAAAGGCACUGCCGACCAUUCUUUAUGUUAUCAAGGAGGUGAUUUACACUAAAUUGAAUACACAGACGCCGAUUGGGGAGGCGAUCUUGAUGAGCUCAAAUCAACCUCAAGAUACGUAUUUCUACUUAGUUGCGGUGCGAUCUUGUGGAGUAACAAGAAGCAAACAUGCACAGCUCUGUCGACUAUGGAAGUAGAAUAUGUAGCAUGUUCAGUCACAAUACAAGAGGUUGUUUGGCUUAGGCGCUUCUUAAAUGAUCUCGAGAUUGUUAUUGGUCAUCCUCAGCCAGUAACCAUAUAUUGUGAUAGCCAAGCAGCCAUAUCCUUUACCAAGGAUGCAAAAUACCACAUCAAAUCUAAACACAUAGAGACAAAGUACAAUUUUGUGAGAGAUAUUGUGGUGAAAAAGGAAGUGUUGAUGCAACACAUAUCUACAAACUUCAUGGUUGUAGAUCCAUUAACUAAAGCCAUGACACGAGAUGUUUUUAUCGCACAUACGCAAUCAUUAGGAUUGCACAUAUUAUAAAAGUUGUACUUAAUAAAUUCUUUAUGUAAUAAAAUUAUUUUGAUUUAUUCUCAUAAGAUACUAAUUAGCAUGAUUACACACAUAUAUAUAUAAUUAUUAAAAGAUAUGUCCUCAGGUUAUGACCAGCUUUCUUACACAAGCAGUCACUUCAAUUGUUAAUGAAAGCAAGCUGGGAUGAGACACAAUAUUAAGAGAAAGUACUAGAUACGUUCUCAUGGAGCUUAUAUCUUGAAAAUGUCACCUUGACUGGGUCAAGAUAAAGAACCUAAUUAAGCCAGAUAUGAGUUCAUUUCGUGCCUUAUGAAGGCAAGCUUAUUGAGACUCAAAUUAGGCACUCGAAUAAGCGACUAAUUUAAGAUAUGUACAGUGGAUAGCUAGACAUAUGCUCUUAUACAAAGAGAAUUCACUGUAACGCGUGAUUCAUACCAUGCGUGCUUUUGUGACCAAAAGGAAAAUGAGUGAAUGAAUCCCUGAUUCCUCAUUGUGUAAGUUCUUUCAAGGUAUAAGAAAGACGUCAACAGUUUCCUUAGUUACCAUCGACUAUAUCUUAAAAGGAAAGAUUGGUGAUAGCUACUUUAGCAUGUUUUUUUCUAUGACUAUAAUGUUAUUCGGUCUAUGAAACAUGUCUAAGAAAGCAACUAGCCUAGAACUAAAAGAUAUGAGUAGAGUACGAAGAUUUAUUCUCCUUACAUCUGACUUAUGCAUUCACUGGUCGACCAGUUGUAUAAUCUGCCUAGGGAUGAAUACAAUUGUGAAUACAUAGAGUGCACAACGUCAAACAUAAUUUUUGUUGAGGGAUUAAAUAUGUUUGUACCGAUGUAAAGGAUAAUGAAAUCUAGGAAAUAUAAUGAAUAAGUUAUUUAAAUCUCUUGUAAAAAGUGCAAUUGAGAUUUUUUUUGCUCUACAAGCUCCAAUUUAUAUUGUUCAUGGGUCACACGUUGCAUUUGCCCGUAUGAUACUGCGGUUGUGGCUUUAUGCCCAAAACUCUACUCUCGUUGCUAUGAUUGCUCAAUCAUCCCAUCACGUGCGAGUGGUAGAUGUUAGAUUUAACGUCCAUGAUGGGAUGGAUUAAUCUAACGUAAGUGAUAAGGUAAACUUAGAGUUUGUCUAGGAUUCUUAUGAGAUAUAAAAUUAGUAUUUUAUCUUAAUCCUAAUCACAUAAGAUGUAACUUAUCAAAUAACUCUAGGAAGUUGAUUUGAAUUAAACUACACUUACUGUACUAUAUAAACACUACAUGGGUGAGUGAUAGCACGUAAAAUAAUAAUCACAAGAAUCAAAGCAACAUCAAAAGAGAGUGAGAGAAAAGGAAAAAAGGCAAUGGGUUCUUGCUUCGUGAAUUGAGGGGAUUUUCUAAAUACGUGAUUAUCCUUCGAUCAUCAAUGACAUAAACUUGUGACGAUCCGUUCGUGAAGGAGAUUUGCUUGUGAAGGUUCUAGUUCCUAGCAAUCGAUUCCUGUUCGUUGCGAUCUGCUUGUGUUAGUUCCUGAUUUUUAGGAGAUUGGAGGGAGCUUAUUUUUAUUCUUGCAGAUUCGUGACGAUUCAUUUCUACAUCAACCAAUAAGGUAUGGAUUUGAUUGAACAAAAUAAAUUGCAUGAUUUAUUUAGAAAAUCAUCAGACUCUGUAGAAGCCUUCUCGCAUACUCAAAUGCUAACAUGAAGAGACCACAGAGGUAUAAUAGAUAAAGACGUAGCUUCUCUAGUGGGCCUGAAACAUAGCUUAUUGGUCCCGAAGUUGUUCUUACAAAUGACAUCCCUUUCGCCAAAUCCCCUGACAAAGAACUGAAAAUAUCAGCAGAAAAUGUCAAAGACUGAAAACAGAGUUCUGAUGUAGAAAUAUCAAAAUCGCUAAUUGUCUCCCUCUCAAUCCUGACCAGACAGAGAGGAAGAUAACCUAACUGAAACAAAUUGACCACUGAUGAUUUUUGUGUCUGGAAAAUGUUUCAGUGUUGAUUUGAGCUCUCUUAAGUAGUUAUCAUGUGUCCUUCUGGAACUCUUAGGUUUCCAAAUCCACGAACAUAUUAUUGGAAAAAUGGGAACUCUAUGGAUUAACCACGAGUUUAUCUUCAUAGACAACUCAGUAUGAAAAGCUUUCAAUCCAUGUUAGGCAAGUAUGCUCUAACAUUAUUGCCCACACAUAACAUGGAAAAGAGAAAGACUAUCUUGAUUGUGGCGUGCUUACCAGAACUUGUCUGGGGCAGAUUAGUCCAAUCUUGUGGGCUUAUCUUCUUUUCAGAUGCCUUGAUCAAGUCGAUGAGAGUUUGAUUGACCUGAAAUUUCAAGUAAGAGUUUAACGUCUAUAUGCUUAAUUUGUAGCCAAGUAAAAUUAAACAAAUAUCAGUAAUUUAGGAAAGUAAAACUUCAAGAAGCAUUGGGACAUCUUUCUACCAAUAAAUUCAUAACAUUAUUUUACGCGUGAAGAUCUAAUUCAAUCCCAGUUAUUCAAAAAUCUUGAGUCACUUAAGGUCAAUCCUCAAUAUUAGGAAGAUUAUUGUCCAUAAUACAAAUGUAAAGACCCUUUUGUCUCAAUCAAAUUCGAUUAUGACAAUUUUUUACUGACUUUGAUAAGAAAACUUUGCCAAUUAGUUUGCACAACUGUACUUCAUUUAAUAAUUCAUUAAUUGUAAAUGUCUCACACAACCAAUUGGACUACUUGCAUAUUUGUCUGAUCUAUUGGGCAAAGGAAAUACCUCUUCUGUCCUCUCAUGACUUACAAGAUGUCCUCCAGGAAGAUCUAUCAUUCUAGCAACAUGGUACAACUUCUCUGCUAGUCUCCUUGCAUAACAGAUUUGUGCAAUGAUAUCAUGCCUAUACAUUCAGUGGAGCGAAUUAAUAUUUUUGCUCAAAUUCAGUUAUGUAACAUUCAGUUAUCCAUGUAUCACUACUAGAAAUGCCCAAAAUAUUGACCAGGCUCCUGCACGACCUUCUAAGUUCGAUGUAUAUUAACCUAUUUUCAAGUUUGCAUGUGUAUACAUUUGUUUUCUCUUUGUGCUUGUUUGUGCAUGAAUGAAAUAACGAUUCUCUUGAUCGUCUGAGAUUAAGAAAGGCAUUGAAACAAAACUAAUACUCUUUACUCCAAAAAUACCAAAUUCUUGCCAAAUCCUGUCAUCUCCUUGUUAAAUGCAGGUUGAUUGCGAACUUUGACAAUUUACUAUAAAGCACAGCACGGACUUCCAUUUCAGGUAAUUUUUCCCAAUUUAUUUUAUUUUUUUCACGAAGAACCCAGUUUUAAUUUCCCAUCAAUAUUUGGAGCCUAUCUCAUAACAUUAUAUCUACAGAAUCCAAGAAUAUAUAAGCAUAUUGUUUUCUUUUAUGAUAAUUGACAUUAUAUGGUUUAUUAAUUCGUGAAACAGUUUGGUGAUAUUAAAUAAACAUUUUGCAGACUUCAACUCAUCUAAAUGACAUUUGAAAAAUGAAGUUUAAUUUUGUAACAAUUGUCAUUCCUGUAUGCCCUAUGCAUAUUCCUUUACAAGUAUCUUAAAAUAAUAAAAUCAUAAAGCAUGUCACUUUAAUAAUAUGAAUUUAGACAUGUUGUAAAUCAUGGUGGAUUCCAACAAAAUAAUGCUCUCCUAUUAUCAUCUUAUUGCUCUUCCCAUUAUCCUUUUUAUAAUUAAUAAUUGUGAAUAACUCCACCUUGUAAUGCCUAUAUAAACCCUUUCUUUGUUAAUGAAUGAAGACAAUUUCAAUUCCUCGCUCAAGGCAUUUUGCUUGUUUUCUUCAAUCUUCAUUUGAGUAUUCCUUACUUACAUAUUCCCAAUUAAAUAAUUGCUUACAUACAACCCCUUUAAAUUAUAACAUCCAUUAUCUCCAAAUUUACAACACGUUAUCAGCACGAAGUUCGCUCUGGUACAAGAAGUAUUCUAUCCAUUUACUCUUUUAUUUUCUACGUAUUUAUUUAAAAAAAUUUCCUAUAAGUAAUACUUAUUAUUUACACUCUUUUCAAUAUUUAUUAUACUAAUAUCUUUUUAUUUGUUUGUGAUAAUGUCUCACUUGAAAAAAUUGGAGUUUAACGCUUUGGAUAUAUCAGGCGAGAAUUAUUUAUCCUGGAUCCUAGAUGUCGAAAUUCAUCUUGAUGCUAUGGGGCUUAGUACCACCAUAAAAAAUAAUAAUGACUCAUCCACUCAAGAUCGAGCCAAGGCUAUGAUUUUUCUACGACAUCAUCUUCACCAAGCACUUAAAAUGGAAUAUCUCACUAUAAAGGAUCCAUAUGUUCUGUGGAGCAGUUUGUAUGAAAGAUAUGGUCAUUUAAGGUCAGUCAUUCUUCCCAAUGCUCGUAAUGAAUGGAAUGCCCUCAGGCUACAAGACUUUAAGUCAGUACAUGAAUAUAAUUCUGCACUAUACAGAAUUACUUCACAGUUAAAACUAUGUGGAGAAAAUAUCACUGAUGAGGAUAUGUUGGAAGAAACAUUUACAACAUUUCAUGCUUCCAACAUGGUUUUGCAACAACAAUAUAGUGCUCGUCAGUAUAUAAAAUAUUCUGACUUGAUUGCAUGCCUUCUUGUGGCAGAAAAGAAUAAUGAAUUAUUAAUGAAAAAUCAUCAAGCCCAUCCUACUAGUACAAAACCAAUUUUUGAAGCAAAUGCAGUCUCACAUGAUCGUGAAGACAAUUAUGAAAAUGGGCGUGGCCGUGGGCAUAAUCGUGGCCGUAGACAUAGUUGUGGCCAUGGUCGUGGCUAUUAUCGAGGAAGAGGAUAUAAUAAGAAUCAUUAUUACCAACCUCGUGGUGGAUAUAAAAAUCACAAAAAGGAGAAAAAUGAGAACCAACAUAACACUCAAGAAAACACUUGUGAUAGAUGUGGAAUGUCUAGUCAUUUUUGGAGACAAUGUCGUACUCCCAGACAUCGUGUGGAUAUGUUUCGGGCAUCCCUAAAAUCAAAAGGAAAUAAUAUUGAAACAAACUAUGUUGAUGACUUGGAUCCAGUGGAUGUUACACAUCUUGAUGUUUCAGACUUCUUUGAAGACAAGGAUGGAAAAAUUGAUCACUUGAUUGGUGAUGGAAAUGUUCAUCACAUUUAAAAUUUUAUUUGUGCUUUAUGUUUGUUCAUGUAAUUUUUAUUUUUCGUGUUAUCUAAUAUGUAUUUCCCUUUUUACUUUUGUUUAAGGAUAUGGAUUUCAAUAAAAUGUUUGAUGGAGAAAUAUGAUCUGCUGAUAGUGCAACUACACACACGAUUCUUCGAAACAAGAGGUAUUUUUUAAAUCUAAAUCUAAUUAAGGCAAAUGUGAAUACAAUAUCAGGUCCAGUAGAUCGUAUUGAAGGUACAGGAAGAGCAAUGAUUAUAUUAGCAAAAGGUACAAAAUUGGAUAUUCAUAAUGCUCUGUAUUCACCUAAAUCAAAAAGAAAUUUACUUGGUUUUAAAGACAUUCGUCGUAAUAAUUUUCAUAUAGAAACAAUGGAUAAGAAUAAUGUAGAAUAUCUAUACAUUACUUCUAACAUGUCUAGAAAGAAAGAGAUAUUAGAAAAGCUUCCAGCUGAAAUAUAAGUGUGCAACCCAAGAGGGGGGUGAAUUGGAAUUUUAAAAAUUAUCCUAGCAAAUCCACACAACAAGCAAUCUAAUGUCUUAAUGAAAAUGAAAGCAAUAAGUUCAAUAAAAGCACAAUAACUAAUGAGUAAGGGAGAAGAGAAACAAACACACGAAUUUUUACGUGGUUCGGCAAACCCCGCCUACGUCCACGCCUCCAAGCGAUCCAAGCUUGAGGAUUUCACUAUCCAAGCCUUUCCAAGGCUUCAACCUUUUACAAUUGACUUCAAGGUGUCAUUGAACCUUUACAACAAAGAGAUUAUCUCCCAAUCUCUUCACUCAAGUGUCUCACACACUCAAACUCUUACAAUUAAGAUGAAGAAAUGAAAGUUACAAUGAAACUCACUCAAUGAGUAGAUAUUCAAAAAUGAAGAACAAGAAAUGAUUCAAUGUUUUGUGUUUUGCAAGUUGAAGGAUCAAGAUAUCUCGUGUGCUUUUUGUUUUUGCUUGUUGGAGAGAUUGAAAAUGAGUUGGAUUUGAGUUUAUAUAGUUUGAGCUAAAAAACUAGCCGUUAUACACAUUUUGGUCGUAACCGGAUUGCCGGUUAUGGACAUCUGGUUAUCCGCUUAAUGUUAUUGUUACAGCCACAAUUUUAAAUUUCUGAACAUCCGGUAUGUCGCUUUGUCAAAUCCGGAUUGCCGCUUAUGCUCAGAAGCUUACUGCCCAACAACCGGAUUUCCGUUUGUCAGGAUCCGGUUAGCCGCUUGCUACAGUAACUGCUACAGUGAAAUAUUUUCUAAUUUUACAGUUUGACCCCAAAACUUUAUAAAACUGUAUUAUGGCAUGAAACUUUGCAAAUAGGUCCAAUUUCAGAAUUUCUAAAUAAUACUUUGUCAAUCCCAAAACUUUCUGAAAUUAUGAUUUCACCCAAACUAUGUGAAAUUAUAAAAUGACCCAAAAUAUUUAAAUAGUUUCAACUAGGUCCAAAUCCGAAUGUUAAAACAAUAUCAAAGGUUCUAAAAUACAUUCAUUUUAGUCCAAAACACUUUGAUUCUAUAACAUCAUUUUCUUAUUAUAAAAACACAAUUCAUAAAUCAUUGUUUAAUCAAUACAUGUGGUUUGUUAUCAUCAAAAUCAAUAUNNNNNNNNNNNNNNNNNNNNNNNNNNNNNNNNNNNNNNNNNNNNNNNNNNNNUCUUAUUAUAAAUACAUUCAUUUUAGUCCAAAACACUUUGAUUCUAUAACAUCAUUUUCUUAUUAUAAAAACACAAUUCAUAAAUCAUUGUUUAAUCAAUACAUGUGGUUUGUUAUCAUCAAAAUCAAUAUCUAUAGCUAUAUAAGCUAACACCAGCUUUUUCAUCUGGCUUAUAUUAUACGACGAUAAAAUCAAUGGAAACUUACACAGUCAUAAAAGAUAAGUUAUAUGAUCCAAAAUCUUUUAUACUAUGGCAUGACCGCCUUGGUCACCCUGGAUCAACAAUGAUGCGUAGAAUUAUUGAAAAUUUUCAUGGACAUCCAUUGAAAGAUUUGAAAAUUUAUUGUCAAAUGAGAAUAGUUGUAUUGCUUGUUCACAAGGAAAAUUGGUAGUUAGACCAUCACCCAGUAAAAUUAAUUCUGAAUCUCUAUCAUUUUUACAAAGGAUUCAAGGAGAUAUAUGUGGGCCUAUUCACCUACCAAGUGGACAAUUUCGUUAUUUUAUGGUUUUGAUUGAUGCAUCUGCACGAUGGUCACAUGUUUUUUUAUUAUCUACACGUAACGUUGCAUUUGCAAGAUUGCUUGCGCAGAUAAUCAGGUUACGUGCACAAUUUCCAGAUUAUCCAAUCAAGACCAUACGUCUAGAUAAUGCUGGUGAGUUUACUUCCAAAAUAUUUGAUGAUUACUGCAUGACAGUUGGGAUUGAUGUAGAACACCCAGUACCACAUGUACAUACUCAGAAUGGAUUAGCAGAAUCUCUUAUCAAACGUCUUCAGGUAAUUGCCAAAACUUUAUUAUUACGAAGUCAAUUACCUAUUUCGACAUGGGGACAUGCUAUUUUGCAUGUUACGACAUUAAUCCGCUUGAGGCCUACUGCCUAUCAUAAAUAUUCCCCAUUGUAAUUGGCAUUGGGACAUCAACCAGAUUUAUCCCAUUUACGCAUUUUUGGUUGCACAGUACAAGUGCCGAUUGCGCCCCCACAACGUACUAAAAUGGGACCCCAACGACGAUUGGGAAUUUAUGUGGGAUUUGACUCACCAUCUAUUAUCAUAUAUCUUGAACCAUUGACAGGUGACGUAUUUACAGCACGAUUUACGAAUUGUCAUUUUGAUGAGACAAUUUUUCCUCCAUUAGGAGAAAGAAAAAAGGUCCAUGAGGUUAGGCAUGAUCCUCAAUGGAAAGUGACCCAUCUAUCUCAUUUAGAUCCACGCACAUCUCAGAGUGAAAAUGAAGUGCGAAGGAUGGUUCAUUUGCAGCAAAUUGCAGAACAAUUGCCAGAUGCAUUUACAGAUACGGCAAAAGUAACCAAAUCAUAUAUACCAGCUGCUAAUAUACCCGGCCGAGUCAUUGUAUACAAAGAACAAUUAAUGAAAAGUGUGGCUGAGGAAUUAUCUGUGGCACGCCAGAAGCGUGGUAGACCAAUUGGUUCAAAAGAUAGUGUUCCAAGAAAAAGAAAAAUGAUUAAACAGUGUUCUGCUACAAAUGAUGAUAAAAAUCUAAAAGAACAAAUUGCUUCAGAAAAGAAACCAGUCUUUGAAAAGACCAGAACCCUGACAAUACACAAACUCUUCAUGAGGAACAAAGCCUUGAAAAGGCACAUGAAUCCAGAAAUAGUGAGAUUUCUGUUGAUUAUACUCAUGGUAAAAUUAUCAUCAAUGAUGUGUUUACGUUUAAAGUAGCUACUGACAUUAUAACUGAUCAUGAUCCGUUAACCAUUGAUGAAUGUAGACUGAGGCAUGAUUGGCUUAAAUGGAAAGAAGCAAUCCAGGCAGAGUUGACUUCUUUAGCCAAACGUGAAGUAUUCAGACCUAUAGUCCAAACACCUAAGGAUGUCAAACCUGUUGGGUACAAAUGGGUAUUUGUAAGGAAACGUAAUGAAAAUGAUGAAGUUGUAAGAUAUAAAGCACGACUUGUUGCACAAGGCUUCUCACAGAGACCUGGUAUUGAUUAUAAUAAGACAUACUCUCCAGUAAUGUGUGCAAUUAUGUUUCAAUUUUUAAUUGGUUUGGCUAUAUCAGAAAAUCUUGAUAUGCGUCUCAUGGAUGUAGUGACAGCUUAUGUAUAUGGGUCACUUGACACGGAUAUAUAUAUGAAAAUCCCUGAAGGAUUUAAAAUGCCAGAAUCUUGUCAAUCAUCACAUCGUGGCUUGUAUUCAAUAAAGCUACAAAAGUCUUUAUAUGGAUUAAAACAAUCUGGACGCAUGUGGUAUAAUUGCCUCAGUGAAUACUUGAUAAAAAUAGGAUACGUUAAUGAUCCUAUAUGUCCGUGUGUUUUUAUCAAGCAAUCAAAAUCUGGAAUUGCUAUUGUCGCGGUUUAUGUUGAUGAUUUGAAUUUAAUAAGAACUCCUGAAGAGCUCCAAAAGACCGCUGAAUGUUUGAAAAAUGAAUUUGAGAUGAAAGAUUUAGGGAAAACUAGAUAUUGUCUCGGGCUGCAGAUCGAGCACAGACCUAAUGGUAUCUUUAUCCAUCAAUCAAAUUAUACCGAGAAAAUUUUGAAACGUUUCAACAUGGAUAAAGCUUACCCAUUGAGUACCCCAAUGGUAGUCCGGUCUCUUGAUCCUAAAAAAAAUCCAUUCCGUCCUAAAGAAGAUGAUGAACAGAUACUUGGUCCUGAGGUACCAUAUCUAAAUGCAAUUGGUGCUCUGAUGUAUUUAGCACAAUGUACUAGACCAGACAUAGCAUUUUCUGUUAAUCUGUUAGCUUGAUUUAGCUCUGAACCAACUAGAAGACAUUGGAAUGGUGUCAAACACAUUUUUCGUUAUCUUCAAGGAACAAUUGAUUUAGGCUUAUUUUAUUCUAAUGAACUAACACCAAAUCCAGGUCUCGUUGGUUAUGCUGAUGCAAGAUAUUUAUUUGAUCCCCAUAAAGCUCGUUCACAAACAGGAUAUGUUUUUACUUUCAAUGGUACAACAAUUUCUUGGAAGUCUACAAAACAGACUCUCGUUGCAACAUCCUCCAACCAUUCUGAAAUUCUUGCACUACAUGAAGCCAGUCGAGAAUGCAUAUGGUUGCAAUCUGUAAUCCAUCAUAUUCAAAGUACAUGUAGAAUAUCUUCAAGUUCAGAUAUCCCAACAGUGAUAUAUGAAGAUAAUGCUGCAUGUAUAGCUUAACUUAGAGGAGGAUACAUUAAAGGGGACAGAACAAAACAUAUUCCGCCGAAAUUCUUCUACACCCAUGAGCUCCAACAGAACAAGAAGAUUGAUAUCAAACAGAUACGCUCCACGGAAAAUUUAGAUGAUAUGUUUACAAAAGCUCUACCUACAUCUACAUUUGAAAAAAUCGUAUAUGGCAUCGGCAUGCGUCGUUUUAACAAACUGUUAAAUUAAUGCAUGUUGCCUUCAGGAAGAGCACUCAACAAGAGGAGCGUGAUCUUACAAGAGAAGAAUUAUAGUAAUAUUGGACACAUAUGUACUGUACUCUUUUUUCCUUUUGACCAGGUUUUCCCACUGGGUUUUUACUGGCAAAGGUUUUUAAUGAGGCAGUAUCCAAUGUCAUCAGGGGGAGCACAUCUAAUAAAUAAUUGGUGAAUCCAAGGGGAGUGUUGUAAAUCAUGGCGGAUUCCACCAAAAUAAUGCUCUCCCAUUAUCAUCUUAUUGUUCUUCCCAUUAUCCUUUUUAUAAUUAAUAAUUGUGAAUAACUCCACCUUGUAAUGCCCAUAUAAACCCUUUUUUUGUUAGUGAAUGAAGAUAAUUUCAAUUCCUCGCUCAAGGCAUUUUGUUUGUUUUCUUCAAUCUUCAUUUGAGUAUUCCUUACUUACAUAUUCCCAAUUAAAUAAUUGCUUACAUACAAUCCCUUUAAAUUAUAACAUCCAUUAUCUCCAAAAUUAUAACAAGACACAAUUAUACAGCUAUGUUCAUGUGCAUUAUGGUUGCUCAUGUACCUGCCAUGAAUCAGUGACACAAGAAAUCCAGCUGAACGAAUGGUUUGAAUGUCUUUUUGUGUCAUUUUAUGCAUCCAGCAGGCAUGGAUUUGACCAUCAAAACCAUAAUUAGACUGCAUCCCAGUUGCUGAUAUACCUUUUACAUAUUCCUGUGAGUAACAUAUUUGAGGUCAAGCUAUCGGCAUUUUCCUUGAAAAUAGGUAUAUAUAAAAUAAGAACUUUAAAUAUUGUCAAUGUUGUAACGAGUUAAGGAAACUACAAUGAUUAUCUUAAAAUAAAUAUCCAUUACCAAAAGAAAGCCUAAGACUGUCAGGCACAACUGAAUCACUCAACUGAUAUCGAUUCCAUCGAGGGUGCCAAUGAAAAAGCAAACCUUGAAAAAGAAAAAUCUCGAAAUACUCAACCAAAUACUUGGUUAUCUAACUACAGCCUCUUGACGCUACAUACCAAAAGCCAGAUAGCAAGCAAAACUAAAACUUAAUUUUGUCGACAACGGACCAAAAACUGAAUAAUUGACCAGUUCACUUGACUUAGAUAGCUUUGUCACCCUUGAUUUAUCGGAUGCUCAAUUUUGAACAGACCCAAGCUGAAAAGUCCAGAGAUAUAAAGACUAACAACAUCUUACUCUAAAUUCAAGGGAAGCAGGUUUGUUAAAAUUAUAUGAUCAUCUAGAAAACAAGAGUUCUUACUUGAUAUAAAAUUGCUCUUCUAGUAGAAGAUCCAACAUAUUCUUCAAGAUAUUCCUGCACCCCACGUCACAAAUAGUAAUUAGCCUGAAAGGAAUCUUACCACAAACAGAAUCAUCUUUAUACCAUUCCCAUCCCUUUCAAUAUUAAAAGGGUGAGAAAAACUAGUGGAGAAAGAAUUGUUUUUAGAACAUUGUUUGAAGUUCCAAUUCCUAAGCAAUGACAUCCACAGUUAAAUUUGUUUACAGUACAAGUUUUAUGUAUUAGAUAGUCCUAGCCAUAGUUUUUACAACUUGACCAUGUCCUAAGCCAUGCUUCACUGGCUUCAUGUCUUAGAUUGUCUUAACCUUGUAUUUAUUUUUCUUUUCCCUGAAUGUUAUUACCCAGAAAAUAAAAUCCGUACAAUUAUCAAAAAUUGCAUUAUGAAUGUAUAUGUUCAAUUUCUGCCUCCUUGAUAUUAAUAUGCAUUGCAUGGUAAAUAUACAAAUAUAAGUAUAUAAGCACUAAAUUUUUGAAUAUAUAAUAUUUCAAAAGAAGCAUGUUGUAUAUUUCAUGCAAUGUCAUGAGUUGAUUGCCAUUUGGAGCCCAAUUGAACCUAUUGACCCUAGCCCUUUUCUCUUAUCCAGUUCAAUCAUUGGAUUAAAAUCAUAAUAAGUAAGAGAUCUAUUAAAAGUUUACAAUGAAAAACAUCCGCUGAUUCUAGUUCUGAUUCUGAUUCAGAAGAGUAAAGUGACUAGAAUAUAGCUUUGAGAAACCUCUAUUAGAACUAGAAACCCAAAUACUUAUGUCCAAUUGAAACGCUUGCGUAUUUGUUAUCUUGAAAUUUUUGAACAUUUCUAAUCAUUGAAUAUGAUUUGCCCAAAGCCUCCCUGCCUAUUGUGUUUAAGAGUGCCAGAUAACCGGCUGAUCAUGCCCUAAUGAUUUAAACCAGUUGUUUAAUCAGUAUGCACUGGUCUCUAGGCAGACUACUAGAAUAUCAUUAACUUACAAAAAUCAGAUUUUCCAGUAAUGUAGAAGGCAACUCUAUUUCAACCUAAGAUUCAGCAAGCUGCUAACAAGCUUCAUAAUUUUUUCUUCAUUGAUGACCACUGACACUGGGAAAAAAGAAAAGGAAUUGUCAGUCCCACAAUUACACAAUGGUUUGACCAUAGCAUGAGGAAUCUAGAUCUGGUUCCUAACAGGUUUGUCCUUCAAACAAUAGAAAUGCCUAACCAGUAAUAGCUCUCAUAAUUUAGAAAAAUGCAUUUAGUGUUCCAAAAUUUCUAUGUCCUCAUAAAUCAAGAAGUUAUCAAUUUGUACAGUUAUUAAGUACGGGUUCAUCAAUUUUGAACCUAAAACAAAUUGAGCUGUAAAUUUAUUGAGCCCCUAGGGAAAGGUGAAAGGACCACCAGAUAGAUUGACUCUUCUAGCAAUAUUAUUGCUUGUGGCAAUAGCAGUAUAGCACUGUGUGUAAAGAAAUUACAGGAAUGUUGACUCUAGUUUUAGUUUCGGAGUAAUCACUACUAAAAAAAUGGUCUUUAUUGACUUUAGAAUAAUAUCAGAAAUUACUUUCACUGGCACUUGUUAAUUGUGUCAGUAAUCUGAGAGUUAAAAAAAUAGUAACACUUGUAAGUAGUGUCAAUAAUUACUAUUACUACAGUAUCAUUGAUAUUAUGACACCAUAGUAUUAGUAGUUAUUGAUAUUUUAUUAGUAUCUAUGAUUACUGUUACCAUGGUAUCACUAGUUAAUUUAUUUUUAAAAAAAUAAAAAUUAAAUUGGAUCAUUGCCUAUUGAUUUAUUUGUAAAAUUAAAAGCACCACAAAAUAACAAAAAGAAAUUGAUUUAUAUCACAAAAUCUUUCAUUUCACAUUUACAUAUUAUUAGUAUAUAUUACAAAUUGAACUUCAAUAACCAAAAUAUGAGAUAUCCUACUCUCAUAACUAAAUAAUCCAAAUUCAAUACAUAAAAAUUUCUACCAUCCAAUCAAAUGCCUACUACUUGUGGCUAAAUUUAAUAAAUCUAGAAGUUAAAUUGAGAAUGAUGACUAUCUUUCACUCUUUGAAUAUGAGUAGUAUCAUUGCGUUAUCACACCAGCAGCUUCUCCAUUCAAUAGACUGAAUGGGUUAUGAUACAAGUGAAGUUGAGGAAUAAACACUUCAAACACAUUGAGCAAAUCUGCAUACAUCGAAAAGGGAGAAAAAAUUAGCUGCCAAUUCCCAACCAUUAGAGAAACAAUGGUUAGUAUAAAUAAAUCUAUUUUGUUCUAAAGAAAAAAUAUUCAUACACUAUUUAUAAGUAAACUCAAUUAUUUCAAAGAAAAAUUAGUGAACUAGGAAGUUGUAGUUUAUUUCCUUAAAAAUACCAAAGAAAUACAGUUUAUUCAACUACAGAUAUAAAUAAGAAAAAAGGGAGUCAAUGAUUAUUCUCUUUUGGUAAGGUUAUUUAUAAUAAGUCAAUGACUCUAAAUAGAGUAAGAACGAUAACUAGGUAAAAAUACAAUUACUUGUUGAAAAUUAGUCACUAGAUUCCCAGUAACUACAUCAUAAUGUUGAGCAAUUAAUUACUAAGGCAUCAACCAAGUAGUUAGUGUAGGGACUGACUUCAUUCAUUCCCUUAAAGAAAUCCAAUAACCUUGCUACCUCCUUAUUUAUAUGCAUACUUCCAAUGUUUAAUUAUUUUGCUAUAGAGAAAGAAAGUUAAUAGAAAUGACAAACUAAUAGCGCUUUUGCAAUUUUCAGAUAAUCACACAAAGCAUUUCUUUUAUAAAUUAACCGUCUACUUGAUCGUAGCAGAGAAAAAAACACAUUAAAAGCUAAAUCUUUACCUUCUUGUUUCUUCCAAGUAGCCAAAGAAACAUAGAAGCUCUUCUCCAAGUCACUUAUUUAAACCUAAAAGAACAAUUAAAACAAAAAAAAAUCAAGAUCUAAUGACAAUAAGAGAGACCCGAAAUCAUAAAAUAAGAAAAGAAACAAGAAGUUAGGAGAAGAGCUUUUAUUGUGUUUAGGUUGAUCGUCACUGUAAGGUUAACUUUUUUUUGUUUGGCUACUUGGAAGAAACACAAGAAGGUAGGAUUUGGAAGAAACAAAAAAAUUGUCACUGUAAGAGCUUCUAUGUUUCUUUGGCUACUUGGAAGAAACAAGAAGGUAAAGAUUUAGCUUUUACCAGAAACUAAAAUUACUUUUGGAACUCAAGAAAAGUGUGAAAAUAAUCGAAAUAAAAAGCUCUCAAGUGUGGAAAACUAGCAGAGAAACCAAGUUGCUUAAACUCUUGUUCAGUCCUGUGUUUACCUUUGGCCCUGUAGAUGGUCAUAACAAAAUGUCUCCUUCUAAGAGAGCACGAGUCCUCUGACUUUCGUUUGAAUCAUCAGGUAGCACAGGCUCGCAAGCAAUCAGUUUUCCUCCUGCCGGAAGAGCCUUGUAACAGUUCUCCAUUAUCAGCUUGCAUUCAUCAUCAGUCCAUGUAGUUAAAACCCACUGAAAAGAAAGAGGCAAAUUAACCAAAAAAAAAUUUUGCGUAUGUUAACAUCAGAAGCAUAAAAUCAAAAGAAAAGUAUGAAAGUAUAGUCUGUCAAAAAUGCUUUAUUUUGACAUUGGAAAAACAAAAUGAUAUUUAUCAGGAGGUGAAACAACUUAUAAAAAUACUCUAGCAUAUAACUUGAAACUUCACUAUGAUAGUUAUCAAUUUGAUUAGUUUCUCAAUUUGCAUUUUGUUCUUCCAGAUAAUGGUCAAAGGGUAGUGGAUUAACACGGAGACAACUAUUAACCAUGAUCUCCAUUUACAUGGUUAACACUAUUCAAAAUACACAACUAGGGGACAAGAUAUAUAUAACCUGCAAUUUAAUCCUCACCUAAUGGCUAAUAUUUUCUCAUCUGUAUAAUAGACUGAAAUGAAACCUAUCAUGUGUUCAACUAAUUUAAUUUGCAUCAAUCAAAGCAACUUCUUUUUCUCCAGCUUUCUGUCUCCCCCGACACAUUCUAAAGUAAAUGAAGAGCACCAACAGCAUGUGUCAGUAAAUAGGUGUUGUGGCAAACAAUCCCAAACCUUCCAAAGUAAUGACCAUUGUUAGAUGACCAGCUCUAACAAUCGACGAUAUAUAGUAUAUUCCACAAGAAACUACUAGUUGUUAAGGAGAAAUUUUUAACUCAAACAGAGUUGUACAGUUAUGUGACUAGUGAGAGAGAGAAAGAAAGAAAGAAAGAAAGAAAGAAAGAACGAAAGAAAGAAA